rnacentral:rRNA from 1 species
UAUACAUGCAAGUCGAACGAACUCUGGUAUUGAUUGGUGCUUGCAUCAUGAUUUACAUUUGAGUGAGUGGCGAACUGGUGAGUAACACGUGGGAAACCUGCCCAGAAGCGGGGGAUAACACCUGGAAACAGAUGCUAAUACCGCAUAACAACUUGGACCGCAUGGUCCGAGUUUGAAAGAUGGCUUCGGCUAUCACUUUUGGAUGGUCCCGCGGCGUAUUAGCUAGAUGGUGGGGUAACGGCUCACCAUGGCAAUGAUACGUAGCCGACCUGAGAGGGUAAUCGGCCACAUUGGGACUGAGACACGGCCCAAACUCCUACGGGAGGCAGCAGUAGGGAAUCUUCCACAAUGGACGAAAGUCUGAUGGAGCAACGCCGCGUGAGUGAAGAAGGGUUUCGGCUCGUAAAACUCUGUUGUUAAAGAAGAACAUAUCUGAGAGUAACUGUUCAGGUAUUGACGGUAUUUAACCAGAAAGCCACGGCUAACUACGUGCCAGCAGCCGCGGUAAUACGUAGGUGGCAAGCGUUGUCCGGAUUUAUUGGGCGUAAAGCGAGCGCAGGCGGUUUUUUAAGUCUGAUGUGAAAGCCUUCGGCUCAACCGAAGAAGUGCAUCGGAAACUGGGAAACUUGAGUGCAGAAGAGGACAGUGGAACUCCAUGUGUAGCGGUGAAAUGCGUAGAUAUAUGGAAGAACACCAGUGGCGAAGGCGGCUGUCUGGUCUGUAACUGACGCUGAGGCUCGAAAGUAUGGGUAGCAAACAGGAUUAGAUACCCUGGUAGUCCAUACCGUAAACGAUGAAUGCUAAGUGUUGGAGGGUUUCCGCCCUUCAGUGCUGCAGCUAACGCAUUAAGCAUUCCGCCUGGGGAGUACGGCCGCAAGGCUGAAACUCAAAGGAAUUGACGGGGGCCCGCACAAGCGGUGGAGCAUGUGGUUUAAUUCGAAGCUACGCGAAGAACCUUACCAGGUCUUGACAUACUAUGCAAAUCUAAGAGAUUAGACGUUCCCUUCGGGGACAUGGAUACAGGUGGUGCAUGGUUGUCGUCAGCUCGUGUCGUGAGAUGUUGGGUUAAGUCCCGCAACGAGCGCAACCCUUAUUAUCAGUUGCCAGCAUUAAGUUGGGCACUCUGGUGAGACUGCCGGUGACAAACCGGAGGAAGGUGGGGAUGACGUCAAAUCAUCAUGCCCCUUAUGACCUGGGCUACACACGUGCUACAAUGGAUGGUACAACGAGUUGCGAACUCGCGAGAGUAAGCUAAUCUCUUAAAGCCAUUCUCAGUUCGGAUUGUAGGCUGCAACUCGCCUACAUGAAGUCGGAAUCGCUAGUAAUCGCGGAUCAGCAUGCCGCGGUGAAUACGUUCCCGGGCCUUGUACACACCGCCCGUCACACCAUGAGAGUUUGUAACACCCAAAGUCGGUGGGGUAACCUUUUAGGAACCAGCCGCCUAA